GACGGAAGGUGCAAGGCGUUGCUCGGAAUCACUGGGCGUAAAGGGUGCGUAGGCGGCCUGUGCAAGUCUGGCGUGAAAGCCCCCGGGUCAGCCCGGGAAGUGCGCUCGAAACUGCGCGGCUCGAGUGCCGGAGGGAGAGUGGAAUUCCUGGUGUAGCGGUGAAAUGCGUAGAUAUCAGGAGGAAUACCGGUGGCGAAAGCGACUCUCUGGACGGCAACUGACGCUGAGGCACGAAAGCGUGGGGAGCAAACAGG
rnacentral:rRNA from 1 species